UACGAAGGGGGCUAGCGUUGUUCGGAAUUACUGGGCGUAAAGGGCGCGUAGGCGGCGUGUCAAGUCAGGCGUGAAAGCCCCGGGCUCAACCUGGGAACCGCGCUUGAGACUGGCAUGCUCGAGUUCGGGAGAGGAUGGUGGAAUUCCCAGUGUAGAGGUGAAAUUCGUAGAUAUCGGGAGGAACACCUGUGGCGAAAGCGGCUCACUGGACCACAACUGACGCUGAGGCGCGAAAAGCUAGGGGAGCAAACAGG
rnacentral:rRNA from 1 species